UACGUAGGGUGCGCGCGUUGUCCGGAAUUACUGGGCGUGAAGCGCUCGUAGGUGGUUUGUCGCGUUGUCCGUGAAAACUCACAGCUCAACUGUGGGCGUGCGGGCGAUACGGGCAGACUGGAGUACUGCAGGGGAGACUGGAAUUCCUGGUGUAGCGGUGGAAUGCGCAGAUAUCAGGAGGAACACCGGUGGCGAAGGCGGGUCUCUGGGCAGUAACUGACGCUGAGGAGCGAAAGCGUGGGGAGCGAACAGG
rnacentral:rRNA from 1 species